rnacentral:ncRNA from 1 species
UCCGCUGAAAAUUAAGAAAAGAAUUAAGCGGAAGAAAAGAAAAUAACAAUGAUUCCUGUAGUAACCGUGAGUGAAAAAGGAUAAGCUCAAAGUGGAAAAUCUUUUAUAUAUAAAGGCUGGGCCCCCCACGUGUCCCACUAAUGUAUAUAUACACAUAUGGUGCGGGGCUGGGUGUAGUGUUUUGGCUUUACAAAAGAAUUGUCACUUUUAUAUAAUGAAAGAUGAUUUAUAUAUACAUAUAUAUUUAAUUAUAUAUAUAAAUAUAUACUUGGUAAUAUCAUUAAACUUCCUAAAGAAUUUUUAAAAGUACAUAUAUACAUAUAUAUUAUUAUAUAACGAAAUAUGCAGGAGCGCACUUCCAUAGAGGGUGAAAGACCCGUAGUUUAUAAAUAUAUAAAUAUAUAACAAAGAGGGGGAAGAAGAACGGUUGAAGUUGAAUUGAUUUUCCUUAUCGCCUUUUCUUAUCUCUUUAUUUCUUUUUGGAAAUCUUUCAUUUUCGAGUCGUGUUCGAUGAGAUUGGGACACUAAUACGUGUGAUUAAACAAUUUCACAUAAAGCUAAAUAUAUAUAGGAGACCGAUAGCAAACAAGUACCGUAAGG